GUUUGAUCCUGGCUCAGAUUGAACGCUGGCGGCAUGCCUUACACAUGCAAGUCGAACGGUAACAGGUUAAGCUGACGAGUGGCGAACGGGUGAGUAAUGUAUCGGAACGUGCCCAGUCGUGGGGGAUAACUGCUCGAAAGAGCAGCUAAUACCGCAUACGACCUGAGGGUGAAAGCGGGGGAUCGCAAGACCUCGCGCGAUUGGAGCGGCCGAUAUCAGAUUAGGUAGUUGGUGAGGUAAAGGCUCACCAAGCCGACGAUCUGUAGCUGGUCUGAGAGGACGACCAGCCACACUGGGACUGAGACACGGCCCAGACUCCUACGGGAGGCAGCAGUGGGGAAUUUUGGACAAUGGGCGCAAGCCUGAUCCAGCCAUGCCGCGUGCGGGAAGAAGGCCUUCGGGUUGUAAACCGCUUUUGUCAGGGAAGAAAAGGUUCUGGCUAAUACCUGGGACUCAUGACGGUACCUGAAGAAUAAGCACCGGCUAACUACGUGCCAGCAGCCGCGGUAAUACGUAGGGUGCAAGCGUUAAUCGGAAUUACUGGGCGUAAAGCGUGCGCAGGCGGUUAUGCAAGACAGAGGUGAAAUCCCCGGGCUCAACCUGGGAACUGCCUUUGUGACUGCAUGGCUAGAGUACGGUAGAGGGGGAUGGAAUUCCGCGUGUAGCAGUGAAAUGCGUAGAUAUGCGGAGGAACACCGAUGGCGAAGGCAAUCCCCUGGACCUGUACUGACGCUCAUGCACGAAAGCGUGGGGAGCAAACAGGAUUAGAUACCCUGGUAGUCCACGCCCUAAACGAUGUCAACUGGUUGUUGGGGAGGGUUUCUUCUCAGUAACGUAGCUAACGCGUGAAGUUGACCGCCUGGGGAGUACGGCCGCAAGGUUGAAACUCAAGGAAUUGACGGGGACCCGCACAGCGGUGGGAUGAUGGGGUUUAAUUCGAUGCAACGCGAAAACCUUACCUACCCUUGACAUGUCUGGAAUCCUGAGAGAUUUGGGAGUGCUCGAAAGAGAGCCAGACACAGUGCUGCAUGUCGUCGUCAGCUCGUGUCGUGAGAUGUGGGUAGUCCGCACGAGCGCACCCUGUCAUAGUGCUACGAAGGCACUCUAUGAACUGCGGUGACAACCCGAAGAAGGUGGGAUGACGUCAGGUCAUUCAUGGUCUUAUUU
rnacentral:rRNA from 1 species